rnacentral:tRNA from 1 species
CUUAAAAUCCGUCGACUUUAGAAAUCGUGAGGGUUCAAGUCCCUCUAUCCCCCUCAAAAAGGGCCCGUUUGA